UUGCUACGCUACUGCCUUCUGCUACGGAAGGCCAGAAAGCAUUUUCAGGCCGUAUCUCGCGAAUACCAGCACGAUAGAGGAACAAGGAUAAGGUCGGGUCUACAAUAGAUGUAGUAAGCUCUAAGCCUUAAGAAAUUGAUCAAUCACAGUCAAUUAUUCUCCUCAUUCUUGACUGUGAUUGGUGAAUUUUUUAAAGCUUAGAGCUUACUACACCUGUUGUAGAUCUGGCCUAAGGGUGCCGUCACAUGCAGCGUAACUUGCGUAAGCGUAACCUGCGUAUUCUAGUAAUUUUAACAGAAGUUACGCCAUUUUGAAAGUCUGGAUUCACAUAGGGCGUAUUUUACGUAAAUGUGAAAAAGCGUAACUAAUUUAACCAAUCGCAGAUUAGAGUUUCUGUUAGAUAUUCUAACAGAAAUGCAAAACAAAUUUGUGAUUGGUUUUCGUAAUUUACGCAUCUGAAAAGGUACGCGUCAUGAGGAACCGAUACAUGUGUGAAGCGUAAUAUUUGUAGUAUAUCUGCACUAGUACACCUCGUGUGUUUUUGAGGUUAUGUAAAAAGAUUAUCGGUGAUAUCAUGGUAGACUCGUCAUUACAAAAGUUGGAAACGGUGGCAGAGAUGAAAAAAGAAGCAAACAGUUCAACAGUGGAAAAUUAGAAAAAAUAACUUAUUAAAACUGUUUGCAAUCUGGAAAAUACUAUCUUAAAAGAAAGAAGUUCGUCGUAUGUGGGUGCGUUCUACAUUCAUAGAAAGACAAAGAUUAUUACAAGGCGCCAGUGACAACCUAGUGAAGGAAAUGGAAUUUCACGAUUAUAAUUUCAUUUCUUGAGCAGUACAUCAGAUAUAACAGAAUCAUUACAACUAUGUAUUAUAAAAUAAAUAUGAUAUAAAGCUACUUUUUAACUUA